AGGGACAAGCUGUUGUAACUUACAUGACGAUAUAUAACUUGAUCUACUUUAAUAUCCAAACGUAUACACAGAAGGCUGGGAAAUGUCGGCUAGUUAAUCUGAGUUUCAGAGGGAAAAUGAAGUAGUGAAGGUGCAGUUUAAGAGGAAUGCCGCUCCUUUUAUUAAAGAAGCGCCUUUUUGGGUGUCUGAGCCUGGGUACUGGGACGGCAGUACAUAGUAGAAGAAGCCUGAGCAGACAGCGGGUAUUUUUAACAGCGAGAUAAGCGAAUGGGGCAGGCACAGAGAGGCGCUCAUAAGCCACAUGGCAACAGCAGGGGCAAGUCGUGGCAAUGGUGGGGGAUGCUAACAGGUUUUGAUCUCCAGAGGAUGAAUCAGUUAGCAGACACCCUAGCCGCAUUGCCGGAAACAUCCUGGGAGGCCAACUAGCACGCUGCUGCUUGUGGGCAUUGAAGCGGUUUGGAUCAAAACAUGCAACUAUUUAACCUCUUUAACUGGAGAUGGGGGGGGGGGGGCGUGGUGAGAGCUGUGUUACCCGACUCAGACUGCUUUCCAUAAGUAUCAGGUUAGAUUGGGUCCCGGCCCUGUGGUACGAAGUCUGCCUGGCUGGCUAGAGUCCCGGCAGCGCCCAGAGUAUCGCAUGUCUGCAGUGGCGUGUUUACUGUGAGAAAUUUCCCUCAGGUAUGGGGCCACACGCUCCCGAGCCAACACGCUGACGUCAUCACGGAGGGGACACAUGCCUUUGAAGUGACAGCAUCUGAGUGACAUCCAAAGGGUGCCGAUGAGUGAUGAUUUAUGAAUAGUAUCAAAAAGCUCAGAAUCCAUCCCUGCCUUUCCUUGUUAUACGUGUUGCAUUGUUGCAUAAUGAUCAGCAGCCUGGUUUCUGCUUCCCAGCAAAGCCAGUGCCAAACCGAAGGCUGUGUAAUUCACAUCAAACCAAAGUGCUACCCAUUCAACUGAAAGCACUGGAUAAAUCAAGUGCAAUGUGUCUGUUUUGCCUGAAAUGCCUAAAUUUCCCGAGCCUGAUGUUGAAUGCGUCACAUUUCAUAGUGACUAUCCUUACUAUAAUCUCAUUGUCCUACGUGAGAAAUAUGAGAUUUAUUGAAUUAUCAGUUUACGUUUUGUCACCCAAAUUGCUUUUCAUGUUUCAGUUUUAUUGAAAGUCACGGCUUUCUAUUAGGCACCGGUGUAAAGACCAUAGAGAGGUGUCCGUCUGGUCAUGUGACUGUGCAAAGACUCCCAUGCUCCCCAGCACGUCUGCAUAUUUACCUUGUCACAGAAAUCCCAAUCCAUGCAUUUAGUCAAAAGUUAAACACAUCCUUCUUUGGAGGCAACAUUCCAGCUUGGAUGUGACCAGAGGAGGCUCCCCCCCAGGGCACUGGCGGUGGCCUGGUGCCCCGGGCCCUCGGCUCAGCAUAAGCUGUGACGGACUCUAUGCACUCCUGCACUCCAAGUACAGACCUUCUGACACAGAUGAUAUUUACUGAUACCAUGUGUGUGCCAGAGGACUAAAUCUAAAUGAGAGGAUACCGAUUCUUUUUCACUUAUUAUCCAAUCAUUCAAGUCAUGGGAGGACUUAGGGACCACAGGGGACAGUUACAUUUCCUGUCCAGUCGGGGCUGGACAUUUGGCAUCAAAAACUCCAGAAUGAAAGCCUGCCAAUCAUUUCAGUGCCACUGACUUUGAGGCAGUCCCAGAAUCUUCUGGGGUUUCCGAGUAAUCAUGCUGAUUGAGCCGCGGUAUGACACCAGGCAGGGUGUCCUUCUGUCUGACUGAAAUCUCAUUUGUUCAGUUCUAAGGAAGGUAUUAGUGUAGUCAUCUUUAGCAGCAUGAGCAAAAAUAUCUACUAGUGUCGAAACACAUGUAAAGAGUAACACAGGCCCAGUGAAUGGAUGCACAAAGCUUGUCUCAUUGUUUUUUUUUAUAUCCUUGGGUUUCUAGGUUGUACUUCACAUGACUUACCGGUGGUGAGGGAAUGGUGACAGAAUUUUAUACUCUGCCAAUUUCCUUCUUAGAGCCUGAUGCUAUAAUGAUAUAAUCAGCUGUAGAUAUUGUAAGACAGCUUUGGUAUGUUAGUUUGGGUAACUGAUGGAUCACAUGACAGAAACAUGCGGAAAGAGAAGGAAGUGGCAUGUGGGUCCAGGUUUUUAUGCGACCAGAGGUCAUGCCAGAAUGUGGCUUUUCCUUCAGAGAGGCAGCUAGACGAAGCGAUGAGAGGGCUGCUCCGUCUGGUGGCUGCCUGGAUGGGAGAGUGACAGAUCAACAGGACUUCCUUCCAGGGCCACACAGCUAGGGGAUGUGGAGAUACCGGACUUUCUACUGCUGACUGCAUAAAGCUCCCCCCCUCCCUGAGAGCUCACCGGGAUGUGCGAUACUCCCUGCACACCUCAUGUCUUUAUUCAACAAGGCUAUGCUGGGAUAUUCAUACCCUGUAACUCUCAACCAAGUACUGGGUUAGGUACAGCUGUGAGUCUUAGCCUAAUUGGGCAUAACUGGCUUAUGCGAGCUGAUGCUGGAUGCGUGUUAGUCUCAGCAUAGCUCUGCAGCUGGGUGUGUGGAUUACAGCUCAAAAGCGCCCCCCGGAGGCCCAUUUGAGAACAUGAUAGCAUUUUUGCCUCUCAGUUUUGUUGCCAAGAAACAUCCUUGUGUGUUCCAUUAGAGCUGUGGCCCAUGUUUGUACCACAUCCUUGAUUGGUUUCGUUCUGGUUUCUAAGCCAUUGACCAUUUUUCACCCAUACUUCCUUCUGUCAGUCUUGAAGCCAUUCAGGAUCACAUUCCAUGUAAGUAUAUAAUAUACACUUACUACUCAAAUAAAUAGCUUUAAACUUUGACUGCCUAUGGCUUUUGCACAGUACUGCAUCUCUCAAAGCUGGCUCUUAUUCUUUAAGAAAUAACGCUGACAUUUCUGUCCAAGGUUUACAACAUAGGCGUGUUUUGAGGUGUUGAAUCGGAAUAUCAGAGUAAAUAAUAUGUAGCCUAACUGUGAAUCCAAAUUUGAAUACCCCUGUAAAUAGACCACAACCUAUUGUAUGACUUGCAUGAAUAAGAAGAAAAGGCAAUAUAACAUUGUCCGUCCAGUAUCUCUUACUAUCACCUGCAGGCAGACUGGAAACUAGCCGGGGAGCCCAGCAUCAGCAACACGGGCUAAUCAAUUAGCUUUAACUGGAGGAGGUGAGCUCCCUCUACUCAGCCAUCGUCCUGUUAAACUCACUCCAGCUCGUUUAGUGAUGAUGUGCCAGAAGGAAUCCCAGGAAACAAAGGGGCAGCCUGCCAGCUGCGGCCGCGGCUGUGAUGACCUCACAGGAAGGAGCCUGGUUACCCCCCUCCCCCCGGCUGGUUCCCCACGUUCUCAUCUGCCUUUAACGAAGCCGGGAUGACGGACAUUUCUGUCUUUUCCACCCGCACCCAGUGGCUCUCAGACAAGGGGAAUUGCUGUCAGCUGAAUGGGCCCUGCAACCCACAAGUAAAACCUUCCACCCACAGCACCUAUAAAGUCACACUAUCAGACCACACCCUCCAUAACAAUGAAGUCAUCACAAAAAAUUCUAAUUAAAAUCAGAACCUGUUAUUUGGGGUAAAACACAGAUUGCAUCAAAAC